rnacentral:rRNA from 1 species
GCUGAAACUCGCCUCUUUGAAGUCGGAAUCGCUAGUAAUCGCAGAUCAGCAUGUUGCGGUGAAUACGUUCCCGGGUCUUGUACACACCGCCCGUCAAACCAUGAGAGUCGCCAACACCCGAAGUCCACCUAGUGGCCUAAGGUGGGGGAGAUGAUUGGGGUUAAGUCGUAACAAGGUACC